rnacentral:rRNA from 1 species
AACGAACGCUGGCGGCAUGCCUAACACAUGCAAGUCGAACGAGACCUUCGGGUCUCGUGGCGCACGGGUGCGUAACGCGUGGGAACCUGCCCUUAGGUUCGGAAUAACUCCCCGAAAGGGGUGCUAAUACCGGAUAAUGUCUUCGGACCAAAGAUUUAUCGCCUUUGGAUGGGCCCGCGUUGGAUUAGCUAGUUGGUAGGGUAAAAGCCUACCAAGGCGACGAUCCAUAGCUGGUAUGAGAGGAUGAGCAGCCACACUGGGACUGAGACACGGCCCAGACUACUACGGGAGGCAGCAGUGGGGAAUAUUGGACAAUGGGCGAAAGCAUGAUCCAGCAAUGCCGCGUGAGUGAUGAAGGCCUUAGGGUUGUAAAGCUCUUUUACCCGGGAUGAUAAUGACAGUACCGGGAGAAUAAGCUCCGGCUAACUCCGUG